rnacentral:rRNA from 1 species
UCUUGGACAAUGGGCGCAAGCCUGAUCCCCCCCUGCCGCUUGAGUUCUGAAGGCCUUGGGGUUGUAAAGCUCUUUAACCGCUGAAUAUAAUGACGGUACUUGGAGAAUAAGCCCCGGCUAACUUCGUGCCAGCAGCCGCGGUAAUACAAGGGGGCGAGCGUUAUUCGGAAUCACUGGGCGAAAGCGUGCGCAGGCUGUUUUGUAAGUUGGGAUGUAAAUCCCCGGGCUCAACCUGGGAAUUGCUCUCAAAACUCAAGGCUUAAUCCCGCAGGGGGGAGGAGAAUUUGUCCGUGAGCAGUAAAUGCGAAAUUGGCAGGACACCAGUGGGGUAGGCGGCACUCUGGUCGGAAUUGCGUGUACAGAG